rnacentral:lncRNA from 1 species
UUUUAUUAUCAUUCAGGUAUGGCAAGGCCAAUGUGUCAGGAGAUGAUGCCCACUGACAAAAGAGUUUCUUCCCCACAGUGCCCAAGAUGGGGGACUGGAGGGACAGCAUACCACGCAUGGCCACACAGGCCACAUGGGGCCACACGGGGUCACACAGAGUCACACAGGGUCACACGGGGUCACAGAGUCACACAGGCCACACAGGGCCACACUGGGUCACACAAGCUACACGGGGCCACACAGGUCACACAGGGCCACAUGGGGCCACACAGGGUCACACGGGGUCACACAGAGUCACACAGGCCACACAGGGUCACACAGGGUCACACAAGUUACACGGGGCCACACAGGGUCACACAGGCCACAGGGGCCACACAGGGUCACACAGAGCUACACAGGGUCACAUGGCGCCACAUGGGGCCACACAGGGCCACACAGGGUCACACAGGGUCACACAGAGCUACACAGGGCUUCACAGGGCCAUGUGGGAAGAACCCGUCAGGAGGCAUUUCAGCUGGACAGGGCAAGCAGGCUUAGGGUUGGCUCACUGGAUUAGUCUGUGGUUCCAUGGGCUCCAGGGCACAUGUAGAAGCUGCCCCCUGCUGUCCCAUACCCGGCCCUGGGGUGGGCAGGGCAGGUGGAGAGCGGGAGGCAAGAGCACCCUGGCCUGUUUGGUUUCCACAUGGAAAGUGAUGUGGUUUGUCUGUGUCCC